rnacentral:rRNA from 1 species
CCUACGGGAGGCAGCAGUAGGGAAUUUUGCGCAAUGGGCGCAAGCCUGACGCAGCAACGCCGCGUGAUCGAGACGCCCUUCGGGGUGUAAAGCUCUGUCAGUGGGGACGAAACUUGACGGUACCCACAGAGGAAGCACCGGCUAACUCCGUGCCAGCAGCCGCGGUAAUACGGGGGGUGCAAGCGUUGUCCGGAAUCAUUGGGCGUAAAGAGUUCGUAGGCGGCACGUAAGGUCUGGUGGUAAAGGCAGAGGCUCAACCCAGGCCCGCCGUUGAUACUGGCAGUCUCGAGUGGGAGAGAAGGAUGCGGAAUGCGCGGUGUAGCGGUGAAAUGCAUAGAUAUCGCGCAGAACUCCGAUUGCGAAGGCAGCAUGCCGGCUCCACACUGACGCUGAGGCACGAAAGCGUGGGUAGCGAACAGGAUUAGAUACCCGAGUAGUC